GAGAGAGAGAGGAGAGAAAGACAAAGAGAGAGAGAGAGACAGAGCGGAGAGACAGUGAGAGACACAGAGUGAGAGACAGAGAGAGAGGGGAGACAGACAGAGAAAGAGAGACUCAGGUUGACAAUGAAUUAGGUUGCUGUCAACUUGCCCUUAAUGUUCCAUGAGGAGGAGAUGUGUACUAUAAAUAUUAUAAUAUUAUAUUUCAUGACGAGGAGAUGUGUACUAUAAAUAUUCUAAUAUUCUAUUUCACGAGGAGGAGGUGUACUAUAAAUAUUAUGAUAUUCCAUGAGGAGGAGGCGUGUACUAUAAAUAUAAUAUUUCAUGAGGAGGAGGUGUACUAUAAAUAUUAUAAUAUUCCAUGAGGAGGUGUACUAUAAAUAUUAUAAUAUUCCAUGAGGAGGAGGUGUGUACUAUAAAUAUUAUAAUAUUCCAUGAGGAGGAGGUGUGUACUAUAAAUAUUAGAAUAUUCCAUGAGGAGGUGUGUACUAUAAAUAUUAUGAUAUUCCAUGAGGAGGAGGUGUGUACUAUAAAUAUUAUAAUAUUCCAUGAGGAGGAGGUGUGUACUAUAAAUAUUAUAAUAUUCCAUGAGGAGGAGGUGUGUACUAUAAAUAUUAUGAUAUUCCAUGAGGAGGCGUGUACUAUAAAUAUUAUAAUAUUCUAUUUCAUGAGGAGGAGGUGUACUAUAAAUAUUAUGAUAUUCCAUGUGGAGGAGGUAUGUACUAUAAAUAUUAUAUUCCAUGAGGAGGAGGUGUACUAUAAAUAUUAUAAUAUUCCACGAGGAGGUGUGUACUAUAAAUAUUAUAAUGUUCCAUGAGGAGGUGUACUAUAAAUAUUAUAAUAUUCCAUGAGGAGGUGUGUACUAUAAAUAUUAUAAUGUUCCAUGAGGAGGUGUGUACUAUAAAUAUUAUAAUAUUCCAUGAGGAGGAGGUGUACUAUAAAUAUUAUAAUAUUCCAUGAGGAGGAGGUGUGUACUAUAAAUAUUAUAAUAUUCCAUGAGGAGGUGUACUAUAAAUAUUAUAAUAUUCCAUGAGGAGGUGUGUACUAUAAAUAUUAUAAUGUUCCAUGAGGAGGUGUGUACUAUAAAUAUUAUAAUAUUCCAUGAGGAGGAGGUGUACUAUAAAUAUUAUGAUAUUCCAUGAGGAGGAGGUGUGUACUAUAAAUAUUAUAAUAUUCCAUGAGGAGGUGUGUACUAUAAAUAUUAUGAUAUUCUAUUUCAUGAGGAGGAGGUGUACUAUAAAUAUUAUAAUAUUCCAUGAGGAGGAGGUGUGUACUAUAAAUAUUAUAAUAUUCCAUGAGGAGGAGGUGUGUACUAUAAAUAUUAUAAUAUUCCAUGAGGAGGAGGUGUACUAUAAAUAUUAUAAUAUUCCAUGAGGAGGUGUACUAUAAAUAUUAUAAUAUUCCAUGAGGUGUACUAUAAAUAUUAUAAUAUUCCAUGAGGAGGAGGUGUGUACUAUAAAUAUUAUAAUAUUCCAUGAGGAGGAGGUGUACUAUAAAUAUUAUAAUAUUCCAUGAGGAGGUGUACUAUAAAUAUUAUAAUAUUCCACGAGGAGGUGUGUACUAUAAAUAUUAUAAUGUUCCAUGAGGAGAAGGUAUAAUAUUCCAUGAGGAGGAGGUGUGUACUAUAAAUAUUAUAAUAUUCCAUGAGGAGGAGGUGUGUACUAUAAAUAUUAUAAUAUUCCAUGAGGAGGUGUACUAUAAAUAUUAUAAUAUUCCAUGAGGAGGAGGUGUGUACUAUAAAUAUUAUAAUAUUCCAUGAGGAGGAGGUGUGUACUAUAAAUAUUAUAAUAUUCCAUGAGGAGGAGGUGUACUAUAAAUAUUAUAAUAUUCCAUGAGGAGGUGUACUAUAAAUAUUAUAAUGUUCCAUGAGGAGGAGAUGUACUAUAAAUAUUAUAAUAUUCCAUGAGGAGGUGUGUACUAUAAAUAUUGACUUAACAAAUAAAUACUUAUUUGCCUCAUUAAAAUGAGGGAUCAAUUAAAUCUAUUUAUAACA